rnacentral:rRNA from 1 species
GGAGUUUGAUCCUGGCUCAGGAUGAACGCUAGCGGCAGGCUUACACAUGCAAGUCGAGGGGUAACAGAGAUGCUUGCAAUCUGCUGACGACCGGCGCACGGGUGCGUAACGCGUAUAGAACCUACCUUUUACUGGGAGAUAGCCUUUAGAAAUGAAGAUUAAUACCCCAUAGUAUCUUAGAUUGGCAUCAAUUUAAGAUUAAAGAUUUAUUGGUAACAGAUGGCUAUGCGUCUUAUUAGCUAGAUGGUAAGGUAACGGCUUACCAUUGCAACGAUAAGUAGGGGCCCUGAGAGGGGGAUCCCCCACACUGGUACUGAGACACGGACCAGACUCCUACGGGAGGCAGCAGUGAGGAAUAUUGGUCAAUGGAGGCAACUCUGAACCAGCCAUGCCGUGUGCAGGAAGACUGCCCUAUGGGUUGUAAACUGCUUUUAUACAGGAAGAAACGGUCUCUCGUGAGGGAUUUUGACGGUACUGUAAGAAUAAGCACCGGCUAACUCCGUGCCAGCAGCCGCGGUAAUACGGAGGGUGCAAGCGUUAUCCGGAAUCAUUGGGUUU